AUUUCAUUGACACCAGUGGGCGUGUUGUAACACAACAACAUGAGAUUCUUAAUCUCAGGGUUGUGGGUUCAAACCCCACAUGGGGUA